rnacentral:rRNA from 1 species
UACAGAGGGGGCAAGCGUUGUUCGGAAUUACUGGGCGUAAAGGGCGCGUAGGCGGCCUUCUAAGUCGAACGUGAAAUCCCCGGGCUCAACCCGGGAACUGCGUCCGAUACUGGAAGGCUUGAAUCCGGGAGAGGGAUGCGGAAUUCCAGGUGUAGCGGUGGAAUGCGCAGAUAUCAGGAGGAACACCGGUGGCGAAGGCGGUUCUCUGGGCAGUUGACCUGACGCUGAGGAGCGAAAGCAUGGGGAGCGAACAGGA